rnacentral:hammerhead_ribozyme from 1 species
AUGUACCUGACGAGUCCCAAAUAAGGCGAAACGCGCAUUGUGGAU